UGGGGAAUAUUGCACAAUGGGCGAAAGCCUGAUGCAGCAACGCCGCGUGAGGGAUGACUGCCUUCGGGUUGUAAACCUCUUUUAGUAGGGAAGAAGCGAAAGUGACGGUACCUGCAGAAAAAGCACCGGCUAACUACGUGCCAGCAGCCGCGGUAAUACGUAGGGUGCAAGCGUUGUCCGGAAUUAUUGGGCGUAAAGAGCUCGUAGGCGGCUUGUCGCGUCUGCUGUGAAAUCCCGAGGCUCAACCUCGGGCCUGCAGUGGGUACGGGCAGGCUAGAGUGCGGUAGGGGAGAUUGGAAUUCCUGGUGUAGCGGUGGAAUGCGCAGAUAUCAGGAGGAACACCGAUGGCGAAGGCAGAUCUCUGGGCCGCUACUGACGCUGAGGAGCGAAAGCAUGGGGAGCGAACAG
rnacentral:rRNA from 1 species